rnacentral:antisense_RNA from 1 species
CUUCACCGAGGCCAGCAGCGCCGGCCGGUCGCGGCCCUGCCCGUAGGUCGCGAGCAGCGCCUGCGCCUC